AAUCUAAGACGAAUAAUAGUUUUAUUAAAUUAAAUAUUUCUAAUAAAAUUUUUAUCUAAUUCGUAAAAAGUGUACACCUUAAAAUAAUAUGGCAACGUUGUAAUCGCCAUACUCGAAGCGCGGCAAUUGAUUCGUCCGCUGUCAUAUCUCAAUAAAAUGUUGGGUUAUGAAAUUUAUUUCGCAAAUUACGUUAAUUAAAACAGCAAAGAAAAUGAAAAUAAAUCAUAUUCUCACUAUGACGACCUUGUAUAUUAAACUAGAACUCUAAAAAACUGGUGUGAAUCGUAUAUAUAUAUAAAAGGUAAUGGUUUUCAGGUAAAUUAUUCAAUUUAAGGUAAAUAUAUCGAAUAUUUAGAAAAUAAUGUUUCAAUAAAAACCUCAGACACAUCCACUUUGAUAUUUCAUUCACUAAAACAGUUAACACAAUAAAAUUUAUCAACAAAAUAUAUUAAUUAUUAUCAAUUAAUUAUUCACCAAUAAAUAUCUAGAUUUUAUUUAAAAAAAAAAACCUGAAAUUUUUAUCGAAUUUGUUUGAAAUAACCAUUUUAAAAUAACAACUUUCCUGAAACAACUUGGCAACGUUGUAAUCACCAUACUUUGAGCGCGUGAAACGUUUUCAUAAAAUGUAGGGUUAUGAAAUCAUCCAAAAUUUCUUUAACAAAUUGCGUUAAAAACAACAUAUAAAUCGUAUUAUCGCAGUUACGACCCUGUAUAUUGAACUAAAAAAUUUGCAUGGUUACAUAUAAUAAAAGCAAAACUAUUUUAGAAAGAAAAUAUUUUAAAAAAAAAAACCGUAACUACUCGUAUAUUUCAUUGAAGAAUACAGUGUUGACGUUAUCACAAUAAUAACCUAUCAGUGUUCGAAGCUCGAUACUAAAAAAUUUGCGACAUUGUCAGAUCGAUUUCAAUUCUGUAAGAAUAUUUAGAUUACACAUACAGUCUUUCACAAAAUGACGAUCUUUUCGUUAUUUGAUACUUGUGUUACGAGUUACAAUGUAUGGUACGAAAAUUUAUGCAUUCGAUUGUACCUGACCUUUGAUUUGACCGCGUGCAUUUUAUAUAACGAACAAAUUUUUAUCUUCAAUAACUUUAUCUAAUAUUUUUAUUUCUUAUAAUUCUUAGGAUGUUUGAAUUGAAGACAAAUCGAAACAUGGUUUAAUGUUGGAUGUAAAUAUACGUCACGCGAGAUUCGUUUUGAUUUGUACAUUCGAUCACCUCAUCAGUCGAGAACGGAAUACAAAGUCCGGCGCGUAUUUUUAUAAUUUUUUUUCACUUUAGUAUGCGCGUUACUUUUAAAUUCAUUCCCGUUGUUGUCUUUUCGUAAAAUAGGGAAACCGAUUUUUUAUAUUAUUAUGACGUAACAUGGAAAAAUGCUCGGCGUAAAUUUUAUAUUUGGAUUUUUAGUGAGAAUAAUUAAUUAAAACGUGAUAACUCGUUUCCUUAUCUGAAUUAAAAAAUUAAUCGGAUUUCGUAAAAUAUGUGACGACGUGGCAACUACGCUCAGUUCGCAACAUGUGGUGGUAUGAUGGAAUCCGUGCGGGAAAAAGGGGGCAACGAUCGUCGAAUCGAGACAGACAGCGUAUGACGCCAAAGUGAUAGUCACUGCGGCGCCAGUUAGUACAAUACCGUGCAAAAUUUUGUAUGAAGAUUAAUUUAGUUAUCACCUAAUAAUACUCGAAAAUUCGAUAGCAAUAUCAUAAGUAGUUAGGCAACUCUAAUCACAUCUUAAUACAUUUUAAAUAUGCGAUAAAUUACUAGAUAACAAUAUAGAAAUGUACUUACCUUACUUGUUAAUAGCGAAAUUCGCCUACGUACUAUUACAAAACCACAAUGUUUACAUUAUGCUAACACUAUCUUAACUCCAUUCAUCGAUUUUUUACGAACACACAUAAUACACAAUUAUUUCGAUACGAGACCUGUAAAAUUUACUAAAUUACGAAAAUAUAGAGUUGGCACUUUUUAAUAAUGUUGAUUUAUCACUUAUUGUAAUGUUUCAUGACUCUUACGCACUUAUCUUUAAAGAUUUCCUACUAAUUUUAGAUAAAUCUACAGAUACUGCGUGUACAAAAUACACUAAAUAUGAUAUGAUGGGUCACACGGCGCCAUGUUUACUUGUUUGACUCUUCCGUCUCUCUCUCUCACCCGCGCGCUUCUAGCAAUCGUUUUAUAAAGCUGACCAUGCACGUACUUUUUAUCCAUACGGAAUAUUUC